GGCAAGUUUACCGAGUGGCUAGGUGUGUGGCUGCAGACCAUAAUACGGGGGUUCAAGUCCCUCACUUGCCU
rnacentral:tRNA from 2 species